AUGUUAAUCAGGAAGACAUUAGCACACUCUCACACAUACACACUCAAAGAAUGUGGGUUAUUAAACAUAACCUUUAAAAUCACUCACGUCUCAUCAUUAGACCUGAUGUCAUUCACAGUGCUGAAGUCAAUUACUCUUUUCUUGCAGGGGGUCCCAGGUGGUGAUAGCAGGUUGCAGCCUGGUCCUCAGGGGCCUCCUGGACCACCAGGCCCUCCAGGUCCCCCAGGGGCCCAAGGGUUUACAGGAAUCCAAGGCCCACAGGUGAGUAUAAAACAGAUGGCAGCAGUGUACCUCUGCUUUUUCUGUCUGUUCCUCCGUCCUGCUCUCUUUGUGGGGCUUUUGUAUCGGGAAGGCCUGCAUGGGUAACUCUGGGCUUCCACUAAAGCAUAUUUAAAUGCACCAGUAAUGUUUUCUGUAAAAGUUUACACAUAAAAUCAAUUGUUAAUUUAGCAAAUAAUGAUUACUACGGCCAUUAAUUAAAUGUAAUGUAAUGUAAUGUAAAUGUAAUGUCAUGCAGUUAUAAUGUAGUUUGUAAAAGAGCACUGUAUUAAAACAUUGCUGUUUAAAUUGCAUGCUUUAAAGGGGCUUCUGGGAAUUUUGGAUAGUGCCGUGGGAUGUGCUUCUUUAAUGUCUGUGCUUUUAAAAGUCAAUGUAAAGUAAAUGUAAAUAUUAAUGUAGAUUCUAAAGCAUUAAUGUAUGGAUAAAAUAUUGCGGGAAAAAUGAAUUAAUGUAAUCUAAUUAAUGCAUUACUUAAAUAAGUGGUUGGGGAUCAUGCUGCUUUUUCUUUUUAAAAACCAAGCAGAAGCUCACUGUGAGGUUGUUGUAUUUAAUUUCAGUCCAUUUUCAUCUUUAUCAGUUAUGUCUUAAAUAUACAAUGGGAAUUAUGAUGGUAUUUAAGCCCAUCAUCAAUUAAAUCCCCCUGAUAAACUGGCAAAUGUACUUCUGUAUGACCUCACCAUGAGCACUGAGUGGUCUUUAACCUGGUGUUGUGUUGAUUUCCCAAGCCUAAGAAGAACUGAAAUUAAAAAAAAUAGACAGAGAAAGGCAAGAAAAAAUGUAAAUGUUUACUCCGAGCUGGAACACAAACCAGGAGAGGGUCCAGGGCUUUGGCUACUUUCCCUCUGCCCCGCUGGAGAAGGAGGUGUCCAGAUUGUGGCCACAAGCUAAAGCAAUUCAACCUCAGUUCCUUCUUACAGGGUAUCCCUGGCAACGAUGGCGUACCAGGGAAACCGGGUCCACCCGGCCAAGCAGUGAGUAACCAGACAGGGGGAGGAGCUUUAUUACAGUAUAUAAACACAGAGCAAGGAGCCUGGUUGGUCGACUUCUGCGUUAGAAGUGGAGCGAGUUAGGCCUCCUUUAAACCGGUGCAGCGCUCACUAGAGGUGAUUCAUGAGGACAACAGCAGCUUUUUUCUAAUACGAAAAGGAACCAGUAAGCAUUUGAAAGGAUCUUAACUCGGCACUCCAUGAGGCAUUUCUGCUGCAGUGUGUCCUUUAUGGCCAUCAAAGGUCCCAUUACCCUUCCAGAGUUAACUCACAGACUCCGAGGCUUUGUGUAAUGGUAAACACUGCCAUUGUGUUGAGUUACGGUCAGGACGGCCAUUACUGUGAGUGAUGUUCCAUAUAGAAAGAGCCAUUAGAUCUUUGGUUGAAAGCAGUAUUUCGGCAUUAAUGGCCCUGUCUCUCCGCAUGCAUAUUUUCUCAGCUGGACAGAGGCCCAUCCUGAAAUCAGAGCUCUGGGCUUCCAGACUUCUGUCCCGGCCCGCUUUGCUCCACUUCUAUUGGCAGACUCAGACCACCGAGUUCUUCCAGAGCACAAUCAGAUCUAAACCAUUUUAUUCUUUUAACUCUCGUUCGCCAACCUUUAAGAAACAGACCCCGCAAACUACUUAAUCCCAAAUCUAGUUCAUUAAUAUACAAAUCAAUUCUGUUCUAUACAGUCAAAACACUAAAUAGUUCAAUUAAAUAAGAGUAAUAAAUAAUAUUAGGAAUUCA
ensembl:lncRNA